GCCCGGGUGGCGGAACUGGUAGACGCAGCGGACUCAAAAUCCGCCGAUGGUGACAUCGUGCGAGUUCGACUCUCGCCCCGGGCACCA
rnacentral:tRNA from 1 species